rnacentral:rRNA from 1 species
GCGCAUCUGUGCAUGCAGCAUAUCAAUAAGCGGAGGAAAAGAAACUAACAAGGAUUCCCUUAGUAACGGCGAGUGAAGCGGGAAGAGCUCAAAUUUGAAAUCUUCAAGGUUUUACCUUGACGAAUUGUAGUUUAAAGAAGUGUUUUCUGUUGAAGUUUUGGUAAAAGUUCUUUGGAAUAGGACAUCAUAGAGGGUGAGAAUCCCGUAUUUGACCAUUAUUUUCAGCUGUGUGAUACACUUUCAAAGAGUCGGAUUGUUUGGGAAUGCAGUCCAAAAUGGGUGGUAAAUUUCAUCUAAAGCUAAAUAUUGGCGAGAGACCGAUAGCGAACAAGUACCGUGAGGGAAAGAUGAAAAGAACUUUGAAAAGAGAGUUAAACAGUACGUGAAAUUGUCAAAAGGGAAGCGUUUGACACCAGUGUUGUUUUCUCGAAAAUCAAUUAAAAAGAGUUAGAUUUUGUUGUGUAUUGACCUUAACAGCUUGCAUUUCAAUUUUCUUGCUUUUUUUAAUGCACUUUUCGUUUAACAAGUCAACAUCAGUUUCUUUUGUUGUAAAAAGGUCAUUGGAAGGUGGCUUUCUUUUCGGAGAAAGUGUUUAUAGCCUUUGACUCCUGCAAUCGGAGAGACUGAGGUCUGCAGCGUAGAUCCUUCGGGGUUAGAUACAUUUGUGCUAAGUUAUAGCUUUUUAUAGACAACUUGUUGACUAUGAUUAGUCUUGUAGCUUACUCGCUUAUGCUAUUUUACCUACGCUUAGGAUGUUGACACACGCGCGUGCUCG